rnacentral:rRNA from 1 species
CCUACGGGUGGCAGCAGUGGGGAAUAUUGCACAAUGGGGGAAACCCUGAUGCAGCGACGCCGCGUGAGUGAAGAAGGACUUCGUUAUGUAAAGCUCUAUCAGCAGGGAAGAAAAUGAUGGUACCUGUGUAAGAAGCCCCGGCUAACUACGUGCCAGCAGCCGCGGUAAUACGUAGGGGGCAAGCGUUAUCCGGAUUUACUGGGUGUAAGGGGGGCGUAGACGGCAGUGCAAGUCUGUAGUGAAAGGCGGGGGCUCAACCCCCGGACUGCUCUGGAAACUGUACGGCUGGAGUGCAGGAGAGGUAAGUGGAAUUCCUAGUGUAGCGGUGAAAUGCGUAGAUAUUAGGAGGAACACCAGUGGCGAAGGCGGCUUACUGGACUGUAACUGACGCUGAGGCUCGAAAGCGUGGGGAGCAAACAGGAUUAGAUACCCUGGUAGUC